AUUGAACGCUGGCGGCAGGCCUAACACAUGCAAGUCGAGCGAGCGGCGGACGGGUGAGUAAUGUAUGGGGAUCUGCCCGAUAAAGGGGGAUAACUACUGGAAACGGUGGCUAAUACCGCAUACUAUCGAAUGAAACCAGAUGGGAGUAGCUAGUAGGUGGGGUAAAGGCUUACCUAGGAGACGAUCGCUAGCUGGUCUGAGAGGAUGAUCAGCCACACUGGGACUGAGACACGGCCCAGACUCCUACGGGAGGCAGCAGUGGGGAAUAUUGCGCAAUGGGCGAAAGCCUGAUGCAGCCAUGCCGCGUGUAUGAAGAAGGCCUUAGGGUUGUAAAGCACUUUUAGCGGGGAGGCGUUACCCGCAGAAGAAGCACCGGCUAACUCCGUGCCAGCAGCCGCGGUAAUUC
rnacentral:rRNA from 1 species